UACAGGGGGUGCAAACGUUGCUCGGAAUCAUUGGGCGUAAAGCGCACGUAGGCGGUCUGUUAUGUGGAUGUGAAAGCCCUCGGCUUAACUGAGGAAGUGCAUCCGAAACUGGCAGGCUAGAGUACUAAAGAGGGUCGCGGAAUUCCCGGUGUAGAGGUGAAAUUCGUAGAUAUCGGGAGGAACACCGGUGGCGAAGGCGGCGACCUGGGUAGAUACUGACGCUGAGGUGCGAAAGCGUGGGGAGCAAACAGG
rnacentral:rRNA from 1 species